GUCCCAGCUCCCAAUAGSGUAUAUUAAAGUUGUUGCAGUUAAAAAGCUCGUAGUKGGAUUUCGGAAGGUCUUUAGUGGUCCGCCCCUUCGGGGGAGCGGGUCACUGGCCUCCUAUGUUCCUAACGGUCCUCAUCCGCGAGGGUGGGGAAUCAACCGCUAGGAUCGUUUACUUUGAGGAAAUUAGAGUGUUCAAAGCAGGCGUAACUCGCCUCCGAAUACGUUAGCAUGGGAUAAUGGAAUACGACUUCGGUCUUGUUUCGUUGGUUUCGCUUGGCUGAAGUAAUGAUUGAUAGGGACAGUUGGGGGCAUUAGUAUUUAGUUGUCAGAGGUGAAAUUCUAGGAUUUACUAAAGACUGACCAAUGCGAAAGCAUUUGCCAAGGAUGUUUUCAUUAAUCAAGAACGAAAGUAGGGGGAUCGAAGACGAUCAGAUACCGUCGUAGUCUCUACCGUAAACUAUGCCGACCAGGGAUCCGGAGAGUUUGCAUGGAUGACUCCCCGGGCACCUUGUGAGAAAUCAUAAGUGUUUGGGUUUUGGGGGGAGUAUGGUCGCAAGGCUGAAACUUAAAGGAAUGACGAAGGCACCCACGGGUC
rnacentral:rRNA from 1 species